rnacentral:lncRNA from 1 species
CAGGACAGUCAUCCACGACCACAUCAGCCUGACAUUCCCUGAUGAUGGCAACGGGAUGAACUCGGAGCAGCUGCACAAAAUACUAAGCUGUCUUCCCCCACACUUGUCAUGUGGGCACAGGGAUACCACACUUGCAAGGGCUUCUCCAAAGGUUUUUCUGCCAGGAGUGCUCCAGGCUUUCAGAAGGUAACUUUCCAGCCCAGAACAGAAACACGGACCUGAUGCCGUCGUUUCCUGAGCACUGUAAGGUGUCCUGCACCUCUUGCCUCCCCACAAGAGGGAUGGGAUCCCAUCCCUGCAUGGCUGCUCCUUUCUGCCC